rnacentral:rRNA from 1 species
ACGAACGCUGGCGGCGUGGAUAAGACAUGCAAGUCGAGCGGGACAUUUCGGGUAGCAAUAUUCGAGAUGUCUAGCGGCGAAAGGGUGCGUAACACGUGGGUAAUCUGCCAUGAAGUUUGGAAUAACUCGCUGAAAGGCGAGCUAAUACCGGAUGUGAUCAUUGAGGGACAUCCUUUGAUGAUUAAAGUUGGGGACCGUAAGGCCUGACGCUUCAUGAUGAGCCCGCGGCCUAUCAGCUAGUUGGUGAGGUAACGGCUCACCAAGGCUAAGACGGGUAGCUGGUCUGAGAGGACGACCAGCCACACUGGAACUGAGACACGGUCCAGACACCUACGGGUGGCAGCAGUCGAGAAUUUUUCACAAUGGGGGAAACCCUGAUGGAGCGACGCCGCGUGGGGGAUGAAUGGCUUCGGCCCGUAAACCCCUGUCAUUCGGGAUCAAUGCCUGCGGCAUAAUACGUUGCAGGUUGAUAGUACCGGAAGAGGAAGGGACGGCUAACUCUGUGCCAGCCGCCGCGGUAA